ensembl:lncRNA
CUUCACUCUCUAACCUCUUUGCAGGGACCACAGACACAGAUGUGACAGUGAAGGUGUCCCCAACUUUCUCUGCCUUCUCGAGACCCACAGAGACCUCAGCGUUUCUGCCCACCACUACCUCCACCAGCACAGCCACCACUCCUCCCUCCAGCUCUGAAGUGGAAACCUCCACCCUGGAGGAGAGGUCCAGCACGCCACCGUACACCUUCACAGCCAGCACUACAACUACUUGGGGCAGCAGCCCUGCAGCCUCUAACGUCACCACACCGGCUGAGAGGGGCAGCACAGCCUACAGCUCUGCCAGUUUGCCCGCUGGCACCACCACAGUCCAGAUAGUCUCCAUCACCACAGGAAAGGGGACCACCACUGAUGCCCAGUCUCCAACCACUGCAGCCAUGACGUCCACCUGUGCCGAGAUGACAGCCAGCACGUCCACGGGGACCAGCAUGGCUCCAGGCGUCAGCUCAACCAGAGGCGACACAACCACAGUGCCUCCCUCCACCUCCUCUCUUCUUACUUCCACCAUGGAGGGCACCACACUUGCCACAAGCACCAGUGAAGAGCCAGCCAUGACCUCACCGCUUCAUAGCACAUCACAGGAGACCAGCAGUGCAUCUCCCUCUACAGUGAUGCCUCCCAUCACAACAGAAGAGACAAUCACUUCAGCUGGGUCCUCGACAUUGCUGGAAGGCACCACAACUGCCUCUGUCACCAGCACAGCGGUCUCAGAGAGCACCCCCACUGCCACCCAGCCAGAGACCACAGCUGAGACCACCUCUGCUAUCUCCACCCCGACCUCAGGGACAGCCCCAGACACCACGACAGCGCCUCAAACCUCAAGUGCAGCAACAAGCACCGCUGGUGUAACCUCACUUUAUCCAUCCAUGGAGCCCUCUUCCCCUGUCACUGACUCAACCCAGAGUCCAGAGGUUAGCAGCACCACCACCGCAGAUGAGCCAACGACACCACUGGUCUGCCCCAGUGCUGCGACUAACACCAGUGCAUCUCACCUCUUUCUGUCACUGCGCCUAACUGUUCCCCUGGACCUUGAAAACUCCAUGGCCCAGGAGCUGAUUUUGUCCAAGCUCCGUGGGGAUCUGCAGACUGCGUUCCCGUGUGCUGGCUUCACAGUGGAGUGGAGAGGGAAGAGAAGGACCUGAAUGCUCUCCUCCCAGCCUGACGACCUGCAGGGCAGGGACCUGAGUAAAUUUGCAAGUGUUCUGCUCUCAGUUCUUUUCCAUGUUGGUGUGGCUCUCUAGGGUAACCUGUGCAGCUCCUGUUGAACCCGGACCCCUCCAUCCAACACUUCAUCCCCCCGCAAUGACCACCAGUGCACCCUGCAUCCUGUUGUUCUCCCGGGCUGGGAUUGUCCCUGCCACUUCCUGCAGUCUGUCUGCAUCUUGCCCCAUGCUGCAGAGCUCAAGCCCUCCCAUGGCCUUGUACCAGUCCCARUGCCCACAUUUGGGCCCUUCUGCUGUCCCCUGGCUCUCUCAGGGGGCUGGAAGGAGAGACAGGCUGCCCAUGAGACCCUACAAGGGCUGGCCUUUUGUGGCCGGGAUGGCAAUGAGGGAUGGCUGAGUCAUAAAAGUCACCCUUGGAGCUAAUAAAUAAGAGAAAGGAGAUCUGGAGACUCUGCUC